AGAUUUGGUCAAACUUUCCCUCUUGAGUUUAUUGGAGAUUUGGAGCCUAGAAUUGGGCAACCCAUCUUCUAAGGGAGAAUGGAGGCUAUAGAUGCGUUUGUGAGCUAGACGAUGACUGGAGGCUAAAGGAUGAGCUUGAUUGUAGUGUGCCUUCGAUUGUCAAGGGAUGGUGGUAAGUAGGGACGAUGGCACUAAUCUCACUUGUGAUUCCCAUUAUAGUGCUUUGAUGCCAUCUAUUGAGAUUACUCGAGGUGACGCUGAUGUCAAGAGAUUAUCCAGUCAAUGAUAUGAUUCUCCGUCAGCUACUUCGGCGUUGUGCGUGAUCUAUUCUCUGCCCAUUGCUUUGGCACGUUCAUCAUCUAUUCUUUGGCAGUUGAUUCGAAAUGCACAUGAUCUAUUUCUCCAUUUAACAGCUUUACCCUGUGCAUGAUUUAUUUCUCCACCUGUUGGCCACAGUGCAUGAUUUGAUGAUGUUUAGGGUAAGCCAACUCAUUUGAUUUUGUUUAACUAUGAUGACAUGCAUCGGGUAUGGCAUGAUCUAAUUUGAAAUAUGAAUAUGUGGUGGCUAACUGUGAAUGAUAUUUGAUGAAAAGCUUGAGAUUAGCAGCUUAUAUGUAAAUGAGAUUUGAGGUUGGGCUCGGCAACUAAGGUGUCCCUAUGAAGCCUAGUUGGAUAAUAAUGGCUCUAAGGGUAAGCCUUAAAGUGGUAUGAUUAGAUGUGAGGGCACAAAACUUGUGAAUUUUGGA